rnacentral:rRNA from 1 species
GAUGAACGCUAGCGGGAGGCCUAACACAUGCAAGCUGAGCGGUAGAGUUUCUUCGGAGACUUGAGAGCGGCGUACGGGUGCGGAACACGUGUGCAACCUGCCUUUAUCAGGGGGAUAGCCUUUCGAAAGGAAGAUUAAUACCCCAUAAUAUAUAGAGUGGCAUCACUUUAUAUUGAAAACUGAGGUGGAUAAAGAUGGGCACGCGCAAGAUUAGAUAGUUGGUGAGGUAACGGCUCACCAAGUCGAUGAUCUUUAGGGGGCCUGAGAGGGUGAUCCCCCACACUGGUACUGAGACACGGACCAGACUCCUACGGGAGGCAGCAGUGAGGAAUAUUGGACAAUGGGUUAGCGCCUGAUCCAGCCAUCCCGCGUGAAGGACGACGGCCCUAUGGGUUGUAAACUUCUUUUGUACAGGGAUAAACCUAUUUACGUGUAAAUAGCUGAAGGUACUGUACGAAUAAGCACCGGCUAACUCCGUGCCAGCAGCCGCAGUAACAC